ACAGGAAGCAGUGACUGUUGUAGGAUAUCCCCUUGGAGGAGACACCAUUUCAGUAACAAAGGGGGUUGUAUCGCGUAUAGAGGUUACGUCAUAUGCUCAUGGGUCAUCUGAUUUGUUGGGCAUUCAGAUUGAUGCAGCAAUAAAUCCUGGUAAUAGUGGUGGACCUGCAUUCAAUGAUCAAGGGGAGUGCAUUGGUGUGGCAUUUCAGGUCUACAGAUCUGAAGAGGCCGAGUAUAUUGGAUAUGUCAUUCCUACUACAGUUGUGUCUCAUUUUUUGGAUGACUAUGAGAGGAACGGGAAGUAUACAGGUGAGAAUCUCUUCCCAACUUUCAUCUGUGUGAAGGGAACUUAGUUGUAUAUGUUGUGUAUUUUUCUUGCCAACCAUAUGGCUGCACUAACAAAAAAUUAAUUUCAGGUUUUGAAGUUAA